CUCAACAGGUUGCAUUCUUCUUUCUUGCAUUCUUCUUUCUAUCAAGCGGCACAUUCAAACAAUGGCAUGUUGGAAUAAAAAAAUGCAUGCCGUUGUGAUUGGGGGGCUGCGGAUGCUGUUGGUGAAAUAUGAUGGAGGAAGGUCACGUCGAGGAAGAGCUCUUGUUACUACGAAGGCAGGUCUUUUGGGUGUCCUGCUCGGUUUGGCCAGCUGUGUUUUAUAGGGCUUUUCUUGCCUGUUUGCUCCAUGACGACAGUUUCCAAGAUUCCCUUCCUCUAAUGGGGAUGACAAUUACGUCGAUGAAGAGAUCGUUGUCUCCGGUAGAUUUCAGAGGAAUAUUUUCGGUUGUUGUCCUGUUUUUCUCUUAGAGCUCCACUAAGAACACAUCAGUGAACCGCACUGUUGCACCGACACAUUAAUAUUUAUCCAACUUUUAUUGGAUUGUAUCAAUGAUUUUUUUGGAUACUCUUUAAAAUGUGGCCUUGUAUAAAAAUAAAUGAAUGUCCUUGAUAAUCUUUGUCAACAUUAAUGCACAUCACUAACUUUGUUUUUUCCACGGUGUAUUAGUACUUUCUCACCUCGCAUGAGGUUCUAUCUGGACGUGUGCUGAUGUGAGUGUUUCGGUACAGAGGGUGUCACAUGUGUACAGACUGUAAAGCCCUCUGAGGCAAAUUUUGUAUUUGGGCU
ensembl:lncRNA